AUUCUUCGCCGGAUAGCCGGUCCGAUGCAAGAUCGGACAGGAAAGUCCGAGCACCGCUAAGGUAUUCCCGACGCAAAGUCGGGAUGCUCAAAGUUGCAGCCUCGCUGCGCUUCGGGCAACUUUGGCAGAGGCAGUGGCUAACGGCCACCCCCCGCCAACGGCGGGGCGAGAAACUCCGACGUAAAGUCGGAGCCCCGACUUCAUUAUUAAAUUUUUUAAUAGUGCGUCGGGGGUGUCACAGAGACAAUACCGCGGACGUCAUCAUUUUCGGUCUAAAGCCGGAAGCGUUGAUAGCGCAAGGGUGAAAAGAGGUGAGGUAAAAGCUCACAGCAUGCGUUGGCGACAGCGCGUGGUGAAAAACACUUGCCCGGUGCAACCUGCCUUAUCGGCGGGGCUAGAGCCCGAGAGAAAUCGAGGGCCCAGACAGAUGGCUAUUUAAACAGAACUCGGCUUAUGAGCGGAGAAUCAGA
rnacentral:RNase_P_RNA from 2 species